CGUGUCGUGAGAUGUUGGGUUAAGUCCCGCAACGAGCGCAACCCCUGUGGUUAGUUGCCAGCAAGUAGCGUUGGGCACUCUAGCCAGACUGCCGGUGAUAAAUCGGAGGAAGGUGGGGACGACGUCAAAUCAUCAUGCCCUUUAUGUCCUGGGCUACACACGUACUACAAUGGCCGUUACAACGGGAAGCGAAGGAGCAAUCCGGAGCAAAUCCCUUAAAGGCGGUCCCAGUUCAGAUUGUGGGCUGAAACUCGCCCACAUGAAGGCGGAAUUGCUAGUAAUUGCAGAUCAGCAUGCUGCCAGUCGAAUACGUUCCCGGGCCUU
rnacentral:rRNA from 1 species